rnacentral:rRNA from 1 species
UUGCGCAAUGGACGAAAGUCUUGACGCAGCCACGCCGCGUGAGUGAGGAAGGCCUUCGGGUUGUAAAGCUCUGUCAUCUGGGAAAAACGGCUAUCCGGGGAAAGUUCGGGUAGCGUGAUGGUACCAGAGGAGGAAGCACCGGCAAACUCUGUGCCAGCAGCCGCGGUAAUACAGAGGGUGCAAGCGUUGUUCGGAAUUACUGGGCGUAAAGCGUGCGUAGUCGGUAUUGAGAGUCACGGGUGAAAUCCCAGGGCUUAACCCUGGAACUGCCUGUGAGACCUCAGUACUAGAGUGUGAGAGGGGAUAGUGGAAUACCCAGUGUAGCGGUGAAAUGCGUAGAGAUUGGGUGGAACACCGGUGGCGAAGGCGGCUAUCUGGCUCACAACUGACGAUCAGGCACGAAAGCGUGGGGAGCAAACAGGAUUAGAUACCCUGGUAGUCCACGCCGUAAACUAUGCAUACAAGCUGUAGUGGGAUUUUACUCCUGCUGUGGCGAAGCUAACGCAAUUAGUAUGCCGCCUGGGGAGUACGGUCGCAAGACUAAAUAAGGGGG